rnacentral:rRNA from 1 species
AUUGAACGCUGGCGGCAGGCCUAACACAUGCAAGUCGAACGAGUGGCGGACGGGUGAGUAAUGUCUGGGAAACUGCCCGAUGGAGGGGGAUAACUACUGGAAACGGUAGCUAAUACCGCAUACCAUCGAAUGUGCCCAGAGGGGCUUAGCUAGUAGGUGGGGUAAGGGCUCACCUAGGCGACGAACCCUAGCUGGUCUGAGAGGAUGACCAGCCACACGGGAACUGAGACACGGUCCAGACUCCGACGGGAGGCAGCAGUGGGGAAUAUGGCACAAGGGGCGCAAGCCGGAGACAGCCAUGCCGCGGGUAUGAAGAAGGCCUUCGGGUUGUAAAGUACUUUCAGCGAGGAGGCGUUACUCGCAGAAGAAGCACCGGCUAACUCCGUGCCAGCAGCCGCGGUAAUAC